rnacentral:rRNA from 1 species
CCUACGGGAGGCAGCAGUGUGGAAUAUUGGUCAAUGGACGAGAGUCUGAACCAGCCAAGUAGCGUGAAGGAUGACUGCCCUAUGGGUUGUAAACUUCUUUUAUAUAGGAAUAAAAUGUUCCACGUGUGGCAUUUUGUAUGUACCAUAUUAAUAAGGAUCGGCUAACUCAGUGCCAGCAGCCGCGGUAAUACGGAGGAUCCGAGCGUUAUCCGGAUUUAUUGGGUUUAAAGGGAGCGUAGGUGGAUUGUUAAGUCAGUUGUGAAAGUUUGCGGCUCAACCGUAAAAUUGCAGUUGAAACUGGCAGUCUUGAGUACAGUAGAGGUGGGCGGAAUUCGUGGUGUAGCGGUGAAAUGCUUAGAUAUCACGAAGAACUCCGAUUGCGAAGGCAGCUCACUGGACUGCAACUGACACUGAGGCUCGAAAGUGUGGGUAUCAAACAGGAUUAGAUACCCGGGUAGUC